ACGAACCGUACGAACGUUAUUCGGAAUUACUGGGCUUAAAGGGUGCGUAGGCGGCGCGGAAAGUAGGGUGUGAAAUCCCUCGGCUCAACCGAGGAACUGCGCUCUAAACUACCGUGCUCGAGGGAGGUAGAGGUGAGCGGAACUGAGGGUGGAGCGGUGAAAUGCGUUGAUAUCCUCAGGAACACCGGUGGCGAAAGCGGCUCACUGGACCUCUUCUGACGCUGAGGCACGAAAGCUAGGGUAGCGAACGGGAUUAGAUACCCCGGUAGUCCUAGCCGUAAACGAUGAGCACUGGAUUGGAGGGCCCUCCAUAGCCUUCCGGUCGCAGCGAAAGUGUUAAGUGCUCCGCCUGGGGAGUAUGGUCGCAAGGCUG
rnacentral:rRNA from 1 species